rnacentral:lncRNA from 1 species
ACGGCUGGAGCGAGCAGAGGCCCGGCGGCUCUGGGGAAGCUGGCAUCCCUGAUGUGUUCUCAGGCCCUGCCAAGUUCCUGGUGUGGCGUCCGCUAAAGGUCUUUCUUCAUUUGCUCUUCGUCCUACAGCCGGAGGCGGCCACAGCAGUGCUAGAUUUGAGCAGUGUCUGCAACCUACACCACAGCUCACAGCAAUGCCAGAUCCUUAACCCAGUGAGCAGGGCCAGGGUUUGAACCUGCAUCGUCAUGUAUUCUAGUCCCCCCAACUGGGUUCGUGACCCGCUGAGCCGCAACAGGAACUCUAUAUUUUUUUCUAUUUUAAAAAAAUUAUUUAUGUACUUAUUUUUCUUUUUUGGCCAGCCUGUGGCAUGUGGAGUUCCUGGGCCAGGUAUCAGAUCCGAGCCGCAGCUGCAACCUAAGCUGCACCUGCAGCAAUGCCGGAUCCCUAACCCACUGUGGGGGGCCAGGGAUUGAACCCGAGACCCAGUGCUACCAAGAGGCUGCUGCUCCCGUUGUGCCACAGUGGGAACUCCAAGGCAGACCUUCUAGAAGUGGCCUGCGCUGUCCCAGAGGGAGUGAGCUCCCUGCUCCAGAUGAGGCCAGGCUGAAUCCACCUGCAGCAGAUUCAUGGGUCCCUUUGGGGCUUGGAGCAGAUGAGCCUCAAGGUUCUUGCAGUCCUGUGUCCUCUAGUUCUGUGCCACCCCUGCCCAGGGCACUCCACUUUCUGGGUUCAUGAUGCCCCAGGUCCACCCUGAGCUGCUGGAUGCCAAGCAGUAGCCUGUCCCGGACACUGCGCACCUGGCCAGGGACGCCUACAGAAAAGGCUCAGCAGAGGUCUGCCGUGCGCGGUACCUGUCUGUCCCGAGUGCCAGGCAGACUCCCAGCGUCUGUCACUGUUCAGGGGACAGUCUUUCAGGGUGGCAUCGCUGAGCCCAUUGGAGAGAUGAGAUCACUGAGGCUCCUCAGCUCCCUGGCCCAAGGCUACAGCUGCCAGGGGGUGGAAUUCACACUUGGACCGCCUCUGAGUUUGUCACGACCUCACGAGGCUGCAGAAACAUUUGAUGUGUGCGGAUAAUCAGUGAAAAAAUGACAAAGGUCAAAAAACCUGAAUCCCCACUGGAUUUGAAGAACUUGCCUCACAAGCCUCAGGUCAGCGGGGGGCCUGGGAGCUGGGACCCCCUCCUGCCCUGGGGAGUCCGGCAUCUCCUGGGCGGUGGUGUUGCCCCCGGAAUGCAGAUCCUCCGGCCGCCCCGCCGCCCCCACCGUCCACGGUCUGGAAGCACAGGGGCGCCUCUGGGCCCCUGGGCGUGUGUUUAUUCAGCCCGGCGGGGCCUGCAGGGUGUGACCUAGAGCUGGGUGUGCGCUUGGGGGGCAUUGGACCGCCUCCUGUGGACGGAGGGGGGGGCGGGGGGGUGGCUUUGGCUUUGGCUCCAGGCAAGCUUGUGGCCUUUUCACCCCAUGGUCCCUGCCACCCCCCCAGCAGACCUGCUGUCCUUCUUACACCCUGUUAUCUGGAAGGAUGUGGCUCCUGUCUGAACCUCAGCCUGCCUUCCAGCAGUCUGGCCUCUCAGGCAGGCCCAGUUAUCAGUGGCAAAGCAUUUCUCGCUCAGCAAUACUUGGGCCAGUGUCACCAAGAAGUGCUCUGGGCAGAGCAGCCAGUGGUCUUGGCAACUCAUGCACCGAGCCCUGUUCUCCCUUAGAAGCUUGUGUCAGGAGUUCCCAUUGUGGCUCAGUGGGUUAAGCCCCCGACAUAGUGUCCGUGAGGAUGCGGGUUCGAUCCCUGGCCUCUCUCACUGGGUUAAGAAUCCUGCAUGGCUGUGCGCUGUGGCGUAGGUCGUGGGUGCAGCUCAGAUCUGAUGUUGCCGUGGCUGUGGCGGAGGCUGGCAGCUGCAGCUCUGAUUGAACCCCAACUCGGGACCUUCCAUAUGGCUCAGCUGCAGCCCUAAAAAUAAAACAAAAAUAAAAAUAAAGAAGUUAGUGUCAGCAUGCAAAUGUCAUGGAGGUUCUCUCUUAGAAGUGGCUGCGUGGCUGCAGAAGUGCUCUUGCUGUGUCUAUUGCAAAUAUAAAAGUAAUCCCAUUAGCGGAAUAAAUGAGCUUCCAUCAUGUCAAAGAUAUUGAACAAGAGCGUCCCCCGCGCCCAAGUAGGUCGUCUUAACUCUUUACCUGAUGGGGUGCCCACUCGUCCCUGCUUCUGAUCAGUGCACUUGGGGACUCCAGGGCUGGGCCGGGCCUUCUGAGCGUUGCAUACAACACUGUCAUUUUAUGCCAAGGGACUCAUGCCCAGGGAGGCCAGGGGCUUCAUCUGGUCCCAGGACCACUUAGUGGUCCAAGCAGAUGAGCUUUGGGCCAUGAGCAGCGCCUUUAAGGAGAGGCGGCCACUCCGGCAGCCCUGGCGUCGCUGGUGACCUUUCACAGGUUUGACCUUUACCACCCAUUCCAGCUGUGUCUUUUUCCUUCUUUUUCUUAGCACCUUUAGAAGUCGCAGGCGGUGAUAAGCUCGUGCCAAAGGGAGUACAGGCGAAGGAGGGUGGGCCUGGCAGAGACGGGUGGGGACGGAGCUGCUGGUCUUGGAGACCAGGAGGCGCCUGUGCGAUCCUGGGAUGCUGGCACGGGUCCACGGAGAGCAGGUGACCUGGAGCCCUCGGCCUCCAGAGGCUCCCCAGAAAGGCGGGCGGGCAGUUUUCCUCUUGCACAACAGCAAGAGACAAGGAGUUGGCAGCACGGAUCUGGAGGCCUGGGGUCCAGGAGGAGAGAGAUGGCCUCAGACUCCUGCAAGAUCAGGGUGCAGGGUUUCUCGUGAGCAAGGGACCGUCUUCCCUAAACUUGUAGUGAGUUGGUUCUCUGUCUUUCUUAAGGCAAGAGAUGUGCUGCAGUGAAAAAGGGGGGCUUUGGCUUUUUAGCCCCAAGAGUAGUGAAUUCUUUGCUUCUGGGUCAAGAUGCCCAGAGCCAGAGCAUGUGGCACCUUCCUGACCAGCACCAUGUUUCUGCAAGGUCGGCCCUUCCAGUGGACGUGGGCCCGGCCCCUUUCCAUCAGCGGCAGCGCAGGACCUCCUGGGCCACCCAGGGGCUUCUAUCCAGGGUAUCCGGGUCUUGUCACUGAUACAGCAUCUGCUUCGUUCCACAUACAGCCCCAGAAUGAAGUUUUCCUUGUUGCAGGACUUCGUGUCCAUUGAAUCACAGGAGCUGGCUUAGAAGUGGCGCCUCAGCCAAAAAGAAUCUGACUAGUAUCCAUGAGGACUCAGGUUUGAUCCCUGGCUUCGCUCAGCGGGUUAAGGAUCCGGCCUUGCGCUGAGCUGUGGUGUGGGUUGCAGACGAGGCUCAGAUCUGGUGUUGCUGUGGCCGUGGUGUAGGCUGGUGGUUUCCGCUCUAAUUUGACCCCAUAUGGAACUUCCAUAUGCCAUGGGUGUGGCCCUAAAAAGACAGGGGGGAAAAAAAAAAAAGAAGUGGUGCCUCAGUCACUGUUUCUCUCUUCUUGGGCUGAGGGUGAGACCAACUUCCCUGGGAAAAGCUCCUCUAACUUCCCUGAUUUCAGUCUGACUCAGGGACAGGCAGGGCAGGAAGUGGGGGGGGCGUGGGGGGCUGGAGUGGGGGGAAGGAGUCCAGAGUCGGUGUCAGAAGUUGCUGCUGCCUCUUUGCUGUGUGAUUCUAGACACGUCCGGGUGCUGAGUGCUUCUCUCCCAGCCUAUGAAGUGGGACAGUCACGUCUGCUCCCUGGGGUCCUGCUGGGAGCUGGUGGCGGACCACGAGUGGGUCUGCUUCCUGACCUUGGUCACCUGUGCCCUCUUACAGGACGGGGCGGUGGGACGCUGCUGCCCUCCAUGUGAGCUGCAGCCCAGGCCCUGCGGCCCUGGCACAGCUGCCUGCUCUGGGGGCAGGGGCAGGGCGGCGAGGAACGGGGUCCAGGAGGCUUUCUCUCCAGCUUCUCGGGGGCCCUGGACUGGCCGGAGGGCCUCCCCUCUUCAUCCUAGGGGUCCUACCCCCUCACUCUCCUCCCCACCCCCCAUCCCGGCUGCUGGUUCCCUGGCUGCAGACAGUCCCUCCUCAGGGCCUUGGCACUGGCCACGCGCCCCCGGAGUUGCAGAGACCCUCAGCCCACCUCCCACACUGCCCCACCCCCGCGCCAAGCGGUGCUGUGCCCCUCCCUGUGUGUUCCUCUCCCGAGUGGUGGCCAGUCCAGUCCAGUCCUGGCAGGCUGGGGUGGACUGUCAGUAUGUGGCGCUUCCAGCCUUUGUCAUCCAGUUAGGUGAUGGGGGGGUGGGGUGGGGGUGGUGGAGGCAGUGCUGGAAGGCAUGAAGGGCCUGCCUUCAAGAGUUCCCUCUUGGAGUUCCCGUCGUGGCGCAGUGGUUAACAAAUCCGACUAGGAACCAUGAGGUUGCGGGUUCGAUCCCUGCCCUUGCUCAGUGGGUUAACGAUCCGGUGUUGCCGUGAGCUGUGGUGUAGGUCGCAGACGAGGCUCGGAUCCCGCGUUGCUGUGGCUCUGGUGUAGGCCGGUGGCUACAGCUCCGAUUGGACCCCUAGCCUGGGAACCUCCAUAUGCCGCGGGAGCGGCCC